CUCACCCCCACAGCCCCUGUUGGCUGCAGCAGCAUUGCUGACAGUGUGCCAUGGGGUGGUGAAGUGUCUGUGGGCCUGUUUCCUGCUCUCCCCUUACUGUGGGGGUGGCAGGAAGUUGGGGCCAUGAUG
rnacentral:snoRNA from 1 species